rnacentral:rRNA from 1 species
CUACGGGAUGCACCAGUGGGGAAUAUUGCACAAUGGGCGCAAGCCUGAUGCAGCCAUGCCGCGUGUAUGAAGAAGGCCUUCGGGUUGUAAAGUACUUUCAGCGGGGAGGAAGGGAGUAAAGUUAAUACCUUUGCUCAUUGACGUUACCCGCAGAAGAAGCACCGGCUAACUCCGUGCCAGCAGCCGCGGUAAUACGGAGGGUGCAAGCGUUAAUCGGAAUUACUGGGCGUAAAGCGCACGCCGGCGGUUUGUUAAGUCAGAUGUGAAAUCCCCGGGCUCAACCUGGGAACUGCAUCUGAUACUGGCCAGCUUGAGUCUCGUAGAGGGGGGUAGAAUUCCAGGUGUAGCGGUGAAAUGCGUAGAGAUCUGGAGGAAUACCGGUGGCGAAGGCGGCCCCCUGGACGAAGACUGACGCUCAGGUGCGAAAGCGUGGGGAGCAAACAGGAUUAGAUACCCGAGUAGUC